GUGGGGAAUCUUGCGCAAUGGGCGAAAGCCUGACGCAGCCAUGCCGCGUGAAUGAUGAAGGUCUUAGGAUUGUGAAAUUCUUUCACCGGGGACGAUAAUGACGGCACCCGGAGAAGAAGCCCCGGCUAACUUCGUGCAAGCAGCCGCGGUAAUACGAAGGGGGCUAGCGUUGCUCGGAAUUACUGGGCGUUAAGGGCGCGUAGGCGGACAGUUUAGUCAGAGGUGAAAGCCCAGGGCUCAACCGUGGAAUUGCCUUUGAUACUGGCUGUCUUGAGUACGGGAGAGGUGAGUGGAACUCCGAGUGUAGAGGUGAAAUUCGUAGAUAUUCGGAAGAACACCAGUGGCGAAGGCGACUCACUGGCCCGUUACUGACGCUGAGGCGCGAAAGCGUAGGGAGCAAACAGGAUUAGAUACCCCUGUAGUCC
rnacentral:rRNA from 1 species